UACCAGCACCCCGAGUGGUCGGGACGUUUAUUGGGCCUAAAGCAUCCGUAGCCGGUUCUACAAGUCUUCCGUUAAAUCCACCUGCUUAACAGAUGGGCUGCGGAAGAUACUAUAGAGCUAGGAGGCGGGAGAGGCAAGCGGUACUCGAUGGGUAGGGGUAAAAUCCUCUGAUCCAUUGAAGUCCACCAGUGGCGAAGGCGGCUUGCCAAUACGCGCUCGACGGUGAGGGAUGAAAGCUGGGGGAGCAAACCGG
rnacentral:rRNA from 1 species